rnacentral:rRNA from 1 species
ACACGACUACAUUAGAUACCCGUGUAGUCCUGGCCGUAAACGAUACUCGCUAGGUGUCGGCCACGGUGCGACCGUUGUCGGUGCCGUAGGGAAGCCGUGAAGCGAGCCACCUGGGAAGUACGGCCGCAAGGCUGAAACUUAAAGGAAUUGGCGGGGGAGCACAACAACGGGUGGAGCUUGCGGUUUAAUUGGAUUCAACGCCGGAAAUCUUACCGGGACCGACAGCAACAUGAAGGCCAAGCUGAAGACUUUGCCGGAUUAGCUG